rnacentral:rRNA from 1 species
AGUGAACGCUGGCGGUAAGCCUAACACAUGCAAGUCGAACGGAAGCACAGUAAGAGCUUGCUCUUACGGGUGGCGAGUGGCGGACGGGUGAGGAAUACAUCGGAAUCUACUUUUUCGUGGGGGAUAACGUAGGGAAACUUACGCUAAUACCGCAUACGACCUACGGGUGAAAGCAGGGGAUCUUCGGACCUUGUGCGAUUGAAUGAGCCGAUGUCGGAUUAGUUAGUUGGCGGGGUAAAGGCCAACCAAGGCGACGAUCCGUAGCUGGUCUGAGAGGAUGAUCAGCCACACGGGAACUAGGACACGGUCCAGACUCCGACGGGAGGCAGCAGUGGGGAAUAUUGGACAAUGGGCACAAGCCUGAUCCAGCCAUACCGCGUGGGUGAAGAAGGCCUUCGGGUUGUAAAGCCCUUUUGUUGGGAAAGAAAAGCAGCAGGUUAAUACCCCGCUGUUCUGACGGUACCCAAAGAAUAAGCACCGGCUAACUUCGUG